GUAGGGAUGGCUCAAUGGUUAAGAGCACUGGUUCUCUUCUAGAGGACCUGGGUUCCAUUCCCAGCACCCACA
rnacentral:tRNA from 1 species